AAGUAUGUAACAAGCCACUAAUAAUGCUAUUGACAUCUUUCCUGCACAGGGUGUAGGUCUAUCCGUGGAAGGUUCCAGCAUUUGAGAGGCUGCUAUGGAGGGCCUGUUGGUUACAUCAUUGUAGACUUCUGGGAAAUGGAGGAAAGGCUGGAAGUGCCAGACACUGGAGAGAUGAUUCACUGGAGUGUCUUUGGGAUCUCUUUUUGGGGAGAGCAGAUUGGGCAGAAAGUGAAGAAGAUCUGUGAUUGGUGCAUUUAUAGCUUAAUUAAAUGUAAUUAUAGCUUACUAUAGUACACUUUCAUGAUAUCACAUUAUUCCAAUCUCUAUAAUCCCAUUUAUAAAUGAAUAAUAUAAAUUGAGAAUCUCUCUUUUCAUAGAUUCCACGCACAUACGUACCUUCGUGUAUCCAGAGGGUUUGGAAUAGAGAGAAGGAAUACUUCAGGGGCUGGAAAGCAGGAUAGUGG
rnacentral:lncRNA from 1 species